rnacentral:rRNA from 1 species
UACGUAGGGUGCGAGCGUUAAUCGGAAUUACUGGGCGUAAAGCGUGCGCAGGCGGUUUUUUAAGUCUGGUGUGAAAUCCCCGGGCUUAACCUGGGAACUGCAUUUGUGACUGCAAGGCUAGAGUAUGGCAGAGGGGGGUGGAAUUCCACGUGUAGCAGUGAAAUGCGUAGAUAUGUGGAGGAAUACCGAUGGCGAAGGCAGCCCCCUGGGUCAAUACUGACGCUCAGGCACGAAAGCGUGGGGAGCAAACAGG